rnacentral:rRNA from 1 species
AAGCCAUGCGAGUUUAAAGGACUUCGGGCCUUGGCAGACGGCUCAGUAACACGUGGAGAACCUGCCCUCAGGAGGGAGAUAACCCCGGGAAACUGGGAAUAAUACCCCAUAGGUCUAGAAUGCUGGAAUGCUUCUAGGCUCAAAGCUCCGGCGCUUGAGGAUGGCUCUGCGGCUUAUCAGGUUGUAGUGAGAGUAACGUCCUCACUAGCCUAUGACGGGUACGGGCCCUGAGAGGGGAUGCCCGGAGAUGGACUCUGAGACACGAGUCCAGGCCCUACGGGGCGCAGCAGGCGCGAAAACUCCGCAAUGCUCGAAAGAGUGACGGGGGGAUUCCAAGUGCCUACGCUUAGCGUAGGCUGUUCAGAUGCCUAAAAAGCAUCUGGAGUAAGGGCUGGGUAAGACGGGUGCCAUCUGUGGCAGCAGCCGAAGAUUUGGCUUGUUGCUGCAAGGCAUAAGCCGCCGCGGUAAUACCCGCAGCCCGAGUGGUAGUCGAUUUUAUUGGGCCUAAAGCGUCCGUAUCCGGUCUGAUAAAUGCCUGGGUAAAUCGUCUGGCUUAACCAGACGAAUUCCGGGUAGACUGUCAGACUUGGGACCGGUUGAGGAAGAGGGUACUUUAGGGGUAGGAGUGAAAUCCUGUAAUCCUUGAAGGACCACCAGU